rnacentral:rRNA from 1 species
GCGUGCCUAAUACAUGCAAGUCGAGCGAGCUUGCCUAGAUGAAUUUGGUGCUUGCACCAAAUGAAACUAGAUACAAGCGAGCGGCGGACGGGUGAGUAACACGUGGGUAACCUGCCCAAGAGACUGGGAUAACACCUGGAAACAGAUGCUAAUACCGGAUAACAACACUAGACGCAUGUCUAGAGUUUAAAAGAUGGUUCUGCUAUCACUCUUGGAUGGACCUGCGGUGCAUUAGCUAGUUGGUAAGGUAACGGCUUACCGAGGCAAUGAUGCAUAGCCGAGUUGAGAGACUGAUCGGCCACAUUGGGACUGAGACACGGCCCAAACUCCUACGGGAGGCAGCAGUAGGGAAUCUUCCACAAUGGACGCAAGUCUGAUGGAGCAACGCCGCGUGAGUGAAGAAGGGUUUCGGCUCGUAAAGCUCUGUUGGUAGUGAAGAAAGAUAGAGGUAGUAACUGGCCUUUAUUUGACGGUAAUUACUUAGAAAGUCACGGCUAACUACGUGCCAGCAGCCGCGGUAAUACGUAGGUGGCAAGCGUUGUCCGGAUUUAUUGGGCGUAAAGGCGAGUGCAGGCGGUUCAAUAAGUCUGAUGUGAAAGCCUUCGGCUCAACCGGAGAAUUGCAUCAGAAACUGUUGAACUUGAGUGCAGAAGAGGAGAGUGGAACUCCAUGUGUAGCGGUGGAAUGCGUAGAUAUAUGGAAGAACACCAGUGGCGAAGGCGGCUCUCUGGUCUGCAACUGACGCUGAGGCUCGAAAGCAUGGGUAGCGAACAGGAUUAGAUACCCUGGUAGUCCAUGCCGUAAACGAUGAGUGCUAAGUGUUGGGAGGUUUCCGCCUCUCAGUGCUGCAGCUAACGCAUUAAGCACUCCGCCUGGGGAGUACGACCGCAAGGUUGAAACUCAAAGGAAUUGACGGGGGCCCGCACAAGCGGUGGAGCAUGUGGUUUAAUUCGAAGCAACGCGAAGAACCUUACCAGGUCUUGACAUCCAGUGCAAACCUAAGAGAUUAGGUGUUCCUUUCGGGGACGCUGAGACAGGUGGUGCAGGCUGUCGUCAGCUCGUGUCGU